GAGGUGCCUCGUUGUUCACAUCCUUCACCUUCGAAUACUUCGUCCAAGUUAAAACGUCCGAAAAAAAUCGACUCUGACUAUAAUUCUAGUUAACACAGUUGCCUCCCUUAUCUUAAUUGUUACACCAUUUAUUGUGUUUCGCAGAUGGUCUUUCGUUUAUACCAAAUUUAACGGACGAAGAAGAUGCGGAGAGUGAAAGCCAUAGGUCAUCAAAGUUACCCCCGCCAUCCAAGAUCAUAAUGGCGGCACAGCCUACUGCAGGACCAUCAAAAAGCAGUUACCAAGAACACAAACAGGAACGUGUUGUCAAGAGAAGGAAGACCAAAGCAGAGGAACUCAUUGAUUGGCAAAUUAUAUACUUUCAAAAUCAGGUGGAAUUGGCACAGCAAGAGAAGGAAAUCAAUCGGGUGAAGCUGAGAGUGAUGGAAAAAUAUGAAAAAAACUUGAUACAGAGGAAAUAGACGGAUUCAUCCGGACAACCUUCUUCGAGAGUUAAACAUGAACAUGUGAUAUGGUUUAUUUCAUCCUGGUUUUCAUGGCGUUUAUUUAUUAUUUGACUGUUUGCAAUUUAUGUACGAGCUUGUAAAGUUACCUACAUGAUGUUUUUAAUUCAGUGUGAAUCGUCUGUCUGCAAUAUGUGGGCCAUUCUGAGCGAUUUACCUUACUUGCCAAAAUAAAGU